CACCAGACUCCUACGGGAGGCAGCAGUGGGGAAUAUUGCACAAUGGGGGAAACCCUGAUGCAGCAACGCCGCGUGAGUGAAGAAGUAUUUCGGUAUGUAAAGCUCUAUCAGCAGGGAAGAGAAUGACGGUACCUGACUAAGAAGCCCCGGCUAACUACGUGCCAGCAGCCGCGGUAAUACGUAGGGGGCGAGCGUUAUCCGGAUUUACUGGGUGUAAAGGGAGCGUAGACGGUUCUGCAAGUCUGAAGUGAAAGCCCGUGGCUUAACCGCGGAACGGCUUUGGAAACUGUGGAACUGGAGUGCUGGAGAGGCAAGCGGAAUUCCUAGUGUAGCGGUGAAAUGCGUAGAUAUUAGGAGGAACACCAGCGGCGAAGGCGGCCUGCUGGACCGUAACUGACGUUGAGGCUCGAAAGCGUGGGGAGCAAACAGGAUUAGAUACCCUCGUA
rnacentral:rRNA from 1 species